CUUACUUUUUCAUUCACUACAAUGCCUCCUCGCCCGCCCUAAUUCUUCCACUCCAGCCCGUCGCCGCCGUCGUCACUCCAGCUCCGUCGCCGCGUCGUCACUCCAGAUUCGUCGCCACUGUCGCCGCCGUCGCCGUUCCAGCCCUGUCGUCGCCGUCAACGCUCCAGCUCCGUCGCCGCUCCAGCCCUGUCGUCGCCGUCGCCGCUCCAGCCACGUCGUCGCCGCACCUUCUCCCACUGCCAUUUCAAUUUCUACAGCUUCUGGUGUUUGGAGACAGAAAAACCGGGUUAAUCAGUGCUGAAUGACUGCAGGAUCCAACCAAGGGGGAGUUCGGAGAGGAGUUGGUGUCAUUAACGGGCUCCUUCCACAAAUCUGUGACUACUUCAUUGAAAGGUAACCGAAUAGAUGAAGCUGGUGCUGCUUUUGAUGAGAUUGAGAGUGCUCUAUCGAACUUCGAUGAUGGGCCAUAUUUUCUUAGCCAGCUCAGUUUGAGGAUGGCAAAACAUUUUGCUGGGGAUGGAACAAAGAUGGGCAGCUUGGUUUGGGUGACGCGAUAGAUCGGAAUACUCCUCUAAAGUAGCGAUGGAGGGAUAUGUGGCGAGAAACGUGGAAUGCGGGUGGUGACCACACUUCUCCUAGAUGAGCCAACUAGCUGAUCAUGUCCCUCCCAGCCGAGACGAGUACAAUUGAGCCAACAGUCCCACAAGUCAAGUUACUCCGCUGCCCGACCUGAUGAUUGUACUACAUGAACAUAAACCGUUAUUUUGUUAACUAAUUUUAGAAUUUGCACUUAUGCUCAAUAUUAUUAAACUUUGGUGUAAUGAAUAAUUUUGAGUAAUUAAUGAGUAUUCGUGUCUAUUGUUA